rnacentral:rRNA from 1 species
CUCCUACGGGGGGCAGCAGUCGGGAAUAUUGCGCAAUGGAGGAAACUCUGACGCAGUGACGCCGCGUAUAGGAAGAGGGUUUUCGGAUUGUAAACUAUUGUCGUUAGGGAAGAUAAAAGACUGUACCUAAGGAGGAAGCCCCGGCUAACUAUGUGCCAGCAGCCGCGGUAAUACAUAGGGGGCAAGCGUUAUCCGGAAUUAUUGGGUGUAAAGGGUGCGUAGACGGAAGAACAAGUUGGUUGUGAAAUCCCCAGGCUCAACUUGGGAAUUGCAACUAAAACUGGUUUUCUUGAGUACUGGAGAGG